rnacentral:misc_RNA from 1 species
AGUCAUCAACCCCGAACGUUUCGUGCGUUCCGGCGGUUGGAGCUGGGGGCCUGCUGCCGUGAGGCUGCUCCCCUCAAAUGCAUCGGUUGGACCUGUGGGUCGAACUCGACUGGGCGUUGUACCAUCCUCGCUCUCGAAUGAGACGUUCCCCUUUGUCGUGUCCUUCCAUAGACCUGCCCUUAAGAGUCGGCGGUCAACACAACUUUGAAA